rnacentral:rRNA from 1 species
UUACUGUAAAGGAAAGCACCGGCUAAUUCCGUGCCAGCAGCCGCGGUAAUACGGAAGGUGCAAGCGUUAUCCGGUUUUAUUGGGUUUAAAGGGUGCGUAGGCGGCUUAUUAAGUCAGUUGUGAAAUCCUAGUGCUUAACGCUAGAACUGCAAUUGAUACUAUUAGGCUUGAGUUAAGAAUAGGUAAGUAGAAUUUAUGGUGUAGUAGUGAAAUGCUUAGAUAUCAUAAGGAAUACCAAUAGCGUAGGCAGCUUACUGGUCUUUAACUGACGCUGAGGCACGAAAGCGUGGGGAGCAAACAGGAUUAGAUACCCUGGUAGUCCACGCCGUAAACGAUGAUCACUCGGUAUACAUAAAUUUAUGUGUGUCUAAGCGAAAGCGUUAGUUGAAUC